UCUCCGUUGGUGAACCAGCGGAGGGAUCAUUACAGAGUGCCCCCGGCUCUUUAUACCCUGUGAACUUGCCACUUGUUGCUUCGGCGGGAGGGGAGACUCCCCCGCCGAAGACCACCAUAACUCGUUCUGUCCUCCAGGGGACUUGGUGUUCUGAACUAAGCCACCAGGCUUUGAUUUACGAAUCAAUAAAAACUUUCAGCAACGGAUCUCUUGGCUCCAGCAUCGAUGAAGAACGCAGC
rnacentral:misc_RNA from 1 species